AAGGCAGAGUACAGAAUGGAUCACUGAAUCUCUUCAUUCUCCCUUUCUCAACAGAUCUAAUUGCUGCCUCUUACUUGGGAAUGGAAUGGAUGAAGCGAUAUGUAUGUGUGAGGGGAGAGGACUAAGAGAGUAUCCUUAACAGGCAAGAUUUCAGCUUCAAAGUCUCCUGUACCUCUCCUCACCCCAGCCUUAGACAACUCAGCCUAACACCAUCAUCGCCACCAUCACCAAUUCACUGUCGUCCGAGAGGAUCAAACAAGAAAAGUUCUGCCCAGAAUUCAGCAGUAGACCUUACAGCAGAGCCCCGGAUGAUGCCACAGCAGGCCACUGGGUCAUGCUGUUCUUCACUGGUUUAGAAAUAGCAGAUCUACUAAGAAGUGCCCUUACAUUAUUUGAAAAGUCAUUCUCUCUUUUCUUUGUUAUAACUUCAGCAUUCAGAAGCCUGGAAAUUCAGAAAAGAGGAUUUUUUUGAACAGUGAAUUUUGCAGGUGUACCUGGGAUAAAUUUGAUUCAACAUUGAAGACGUGUUGUUGAAAUAAAACUCAUCAAGUUUCAAGGCA
rnacentral:lncRNA from 1 species